rnacentral:lncRNA from 1 species
GCCGGCAGUCACAGGGCUCACCCAGCUCCCACCCAAACCAAAGGGCCGGUCUCACUCCCACCGUGCACCCCCCAACAGCCCCCAGUCCGUUUCCAGGCGGAGAGGGAUACAGGCCUGAAAACCUGCCCCAGGCUACCCGCCUCCCAGCUGCGAGAGAAAAAGGCUUGGUUCUUCCCCCGCCUGUGGAGUCAGCACCCCGGAUUCGUGCCCUGCCCUAGUUCUGGCCAGGAGGAUUCUCACCCAGUUCAAACUGUUACAACGCUCAGCUAGAGAUUUCCUUCUCCCUGUGGAGUUUUACCCCCUCCUCUCCCGAUGGAUCCCUGUGGUGCCAGCAGGAAUGGGCUGCUCGGGGACCCAGCGAGCUCCGCGGGCCUUUCCGCUGCUUCCUCUACCCCUGUACCUCACUGGGCUCCCCAGACGGACUCAGCUCCAGUGUUUCUUUCAUGCUGCAGUGCCUUCCUUCAGUUCAACUAAUGUUCACAGAAAAUCUGUAGAAUGAGCAGGUAAAUCCUGGAACCUCAGAAUGUCAGGAAGUAGAGCAGAGAAGGAGGGGUACGGGCAGGUGCGCAGCUCGGCCUCUCUCAGUGCUCGGGUGUGUGGUACAGGUGUCUGUGAACUCAAGAGAAGCCUUUCAUUCUAGACAUAGUAGUUAUUUUCUAAAUCAUCUUUAAACUUAUUUGCUGGAAUAUUGUGGGGGUAAAGUGCAAACUUCCCCUUCACCAUCUGAAGGUUUGCUAAAAAUCAACAGGCAGAAGGCGAAUUAACAGGAGAAAUGGCAUGCCAAUUUGUUUGAUCACAGUUUUACAUGAAGAAUGAAGACCCAAAGACACAUGAGAAAUUGUCCAUUUUUAUGCAACACCAGACCAGGCGAUGCUCUAAGACAGGUACAACAAAGUAUGGACAUGCGUGUAGAAAUACGAGUCAACUAAAGGGUGUGAUCUACUGCUAAUAGGCUGAGUGGGGACACCCAGACUCUUCCUGGCCCCUGUGAGCAGCUUCCUUUCCUUCUGGUGUGGGGCAGGAACUUCUCUGGAAUGGGGAUCUUCUGACCCACAGUCAAACAAGAAUUGGACAGAAGUCACAUCAGGGAGACCAGAGACUAGAGUAUUGCAUCAUAGAGGAAAGACACUGAUGACAAGACCUCAGGGGAGCAGUGGAACUGGAGGCCUGGGAGCUUGGGACGUGUUCUCCGGGUGAAGUUGGCUGGCCAGCUGAUGACCUACACCAGUGCCAUUCACUCCUCAUGUGUCCCCCGGGAAUUCAUAGUGUGUGUCAUCAGGUAAAAGCAACACUACUUUCAGAUGUUUUCUGAUCUCUUUGAGAUCUGGACAACACUACUGUGUACAUAUGGCCAGCAACAAAUUACACUCAAUGAAUAUUUUAGAGAGCAGCAAAGUAAUCAAUUAAAAUGUGGGUAAACAAAAAUCACUGUGAUCACAGCUCUGUCUACAUGGUUCUUUGGUAAAAAAUUAGAAUCCUGGGGAUUAGUCUGAGGAUAAAUAUUAUUUAAAAAGCAUUUUGGUUAAAUAGUAAUUAGUAAAUUUUGCUCUGCCGAAAA